CAAUAUUAGAGUAUAAAAUAUAAUACGAGUUUAGUUAUCUUUUUUUAUAAAUUUAUUUUUUUAAAUACAGAUUUACAAAAUAUUUUAUGUUGUAUAAUAUCUAGUAUCAUAUCAGUGUUCACAUUAGGCAGUCGUCACUCAUCUUCACGAAUGCUAUAGUUGUAUUUAUUCUCACGGUAGACGCGAACUGCAAACCUCACAGCUGUAACAGUGGUCGACAAAUACAAAAAUCGACCAAUAUUAAAUUAUAUUUAUGUAAAAGUGUUCACCAAGAAUUGUCCUGUGUAGUACGUUUGCACAUAUUUCAAAGUACUCAAACUUACCAGACGGAAUUGCUGUGGCUGCGAAUGUCUCGUGCAUAUUACGGCGUUUUACGAUCAAGCAUAAAGUCACCGCAACCGUGACGAGAAUAGUAAAUAUAAAUAUGGACCACCAAUCAAACAACAAUAAUAUUCGUGUCAAUAAAUACGGAGGUAUUCAUAUCACGCUUUUAGAUCUCGAUAACCAAUAUUGGAAACUCAGAAAAUACGUAUUAAAUUUCCGCUUAUAUAAAAUAUUGUGAAAUAUG